GUGAACGCUGGCGGUAGGCCUAACACAUGCAAGUCGAACGGCAGCACAGUAAGAGCUUGCUCUUACGGGUGGCGAGUGGCGGACGGGUGAGGAAUACAUCGGAAUCUACUUUUUCGUGGGGGAUAACGUAGGGAAACUUACGCUAAUACCGCAUACGACCUACGGGUGAAAGCAGGGGAUCUUCGGACCUUGCGCGAUUGAAUGAGCCGAUGUCGGAUUAGCUAGUUGGCGGGGUAAAGGCCCACCAAGGCGACGAUCCGUAGCUGGUCUGAGAGGGUGAUCAGCCACACUGGAACUGAGACACGGUCCAGACUCCUACGGGAGGCAGCAGUGGGGAAUAUUGGACAAAGGGCGCAAGCCUGAUCCAGCCAUACCGCGUGGGUGAAGAAGGCCUUCGGGUUGUAAAGCCCUUUUGUUGGGAAAGAAAAGCAGCAGGUUAAUACCCCGCUGUUCUGACGGUACCCAAAGAAUAAGCACCGGCUAACUUCGUG
rnacentral:rRNA from 1 species